CCACCUCUAAAUUACUGUCUCUAGUGAAAUUCUAGUAGAAGACAGUGGGAGCCAACUUAAAAUUAACAGGGGGGAAAAAAUCAAACACCGAAAUAGUUAAUUUCUGUUUUGUUCAAUUGCACUGGUGUUUGACUCCGUUGAUUACAGCUCUUCUUCUGCCUGUGUGUGGGUUGGGUCCAGUGGGCUGGAAGGGAUUCGACAACCAGGUUCAGAGCCUGCCGUUGGGGACCGAUGCCACCCAGGCGCUGGUGCCGUGCCAUGGCGUUGUUCCUUGGUCAGCCCCUGUCUAACCUGUUGUCAUCAACCACAUGAAUGACGAUGGCCCUAGAUGGAUGACACGCGAGGUAAUACAUUGUGAGAAUCAGGAAGGCGCUAGAGAUUUACAGCAUGGGCUCAUCUCGCCUCACCCGGGUCCUCGAUUUCACUGUCUACUAUGUAUCUUUGGAGACAAGUUGCUUACAGUGCUUGAGCCUCAGUUUCUCAGCAGCAGCAGGUCCGGAUCCCUCCAGGCCACAAGUACCCGUCCAAGCGGGACACAAUCUCAAGUGUGCCCCGGUCCCCACCGCUCCCUAGUGCCCACCAGCCCCUUGAACACCUGUUUGCAACCUCUGACCUUGAAGGUCCUUCAAGUCUCCAGCCAACCUGCGAUUUCCAGAAUCCCCGUAAUCUAAAGUGGGAACACACGGAACUGGGAAGUCUCAAGUGCAAGCUCACGUUAGCAUUCCCAAGCCCCGGGCCAGGCACAGCCAGCCAACCGUCAUGUGGAAACUACAUGGAUUUAAAGGAGAGCCGCCUUAACUUCGUCAAGGUGCCACAGGAUGCAUUUUAAAUACCUGGGAUUCGGGGCGCCUGGGUGGCUCAGUCAGUUGAGCGUCC